rnacentral:lncRNA from 1 species
CAGGAACCUUUCACAGCAGCCAAUACCUGCAGAGCUGGGGACCGAACACAGGGCCUUGCGCUUCCAGGGCAACAAAGAAUCAAAUGAGAGCGAGACAAGCUGGGAAUGAAGUCCUGGUUGCCAGAUGGGAGCUUGAAAAUACAGUAAGAUGAGUCAAAAAGUGGCCAAGGAGGGCCCCAGGCUCUCCAAGAACCAGAAGUUCUCAGAGCACUUCAGCAUCCACUGCUGCCCACCCUUCACCUUCCUCAACUCCAAGCGUGAGAUCGUGGACCGCAAGUACAGCAUCUGCAAGAGCGGUUGCUUUUACCAGAAGAAGGAGGAGGACUGGAUCUGCUGUGCCUGCCAGAAGACCAGCCGCCGUGCCACAUCCCCUCAGAAGCCCAAGCACCAGCCAGCUGCAUCCCCUGUGGUGGUCAGAGCGCCGCCAGCCAAGCCAAAGUCCCCUCCGAGGCCAGCCAAGCCAAGGUCCCCUCCGAUUCCAGCCAAGCCAAGGUCCCCUUCAAGGACUGAGCGCCAGCCGCGUCCCCGCCCAGAGGUCCGACCACCACCAGCCAAGCAGAAGCCCCCUCAGAAGUCUAAACAGCCAGCACGAAGCAGCCCCCUCAGAGGGCCAGGCACCAGCCGCGGGGGGUCUCCCACCAGAGCUCCUAGGUUCUGGUAACACCAUCUCUUGCCUUUUGUCCCCCCUAGCCUAAGGUCAGUAGCUGCUCUCUGCAAGUACUAACAUGGGGGAUCUCUCCACAGUACCAAGCCUGUGUAAUCUACUCCCUGCAUUAAACCCCCUCUGUUUG